rnacentral:lncRNA from 1 species
UUUUAAGUACUUCUAUUUUUAUUUUUUAGUAUCUUUUAGUAUUUUUUAUUAUUAUUAUUAUUAUUUUAUUUAUUUUUUUUUUAUUUUUUUUAGAUGACCAUGAUAAACUUAUUAAUUUUUCAAGUUGCAUUUUUAAAAAACAGAAGAUGAGUAUUUCUAGUAUCGAAACUAUUUGUUCAUGUGAAUCCGCAGAAAGUAUUGAAGAUCAAAUUUUGAAUGCAACAACAGGUGUAGCAACGGGUGUAAAAACAAAUGCAGAAACGAAUGAAACAACGAAUGAAGCAACGAAUGAAACAACAAAUGAAGCAGACUAUAGUGAUAAAAAAACUAUUAACUUUAUUCCACUAGUACACAGUACAUGUCCGAGUUUACUCGUGUCAAGUAACAAAAUAAAAAUAGAUAAUACGUAUAAUCCGAGUAAUAAAUUAAUGUUUAGUACUCCUUUUUCUUUAAGUAAUAAAACUAACAUAAACGAAAUAAAAUAUAACAGAGAAAACUUGACCAUACGUAAGAAUGUAUCUAAUACAAAUAAUUCGAUUAACUUAUGUACGAACAGUAAUUUAAUUAACAAUAAAGAUGUAAACUUGAUUAAUGGUACAUAUAAUGUAGGUGUUGAUGCUUUUACAGAAGACCAUAGUGAAGUCGAACAAAAACAAGUAUAUGAUAAUUUAAACGAAUAUACAAAUAGCAACUUUAUAAAAAGUAAUCACUUGUUAAACAUAAACAAUGUUAAUGACAAUAAUAUCAACAGUAAUAGGAUCAACAGUAAUAGGAUCAACAGUAAUAGGAUUAAUAGUAAUAGGGUUAAUAGUAAUGGAAUUGACACCAACAACAUGGUAAACGACAAUAUUAGUACUAUCGUAGAAAACGUUGAAGAUAAAUUAAAAACACAAAACAAUAAAAUAAUGUUGAGUAAUACAUCGAGUAUCAUACAAGAUGACAAUCCAAAUUUUGGUUCAAACAACACAUGUGUUGAUAAUGAGAAUAAAAUUGUAGUUAUUGAAAAUAGACAAACUAAUAACAUAUUUUAUAAAAAUAGACUAAAAAAUUUUAACUACCUGAACGAGAUAAUUAAAAAAAAGUAUCAAGAAAAAAUAAUUAUGGAUGGGUCUGAAUAUAUAUAUAUUUAUGAUAUUUGUGUAAAGAAUCAAGGAUUAAAAAACAAUGAGAAUGUUGAAAAAAAAAAUAUAUUAUCAUUUAUUAAUAAAAGUAACUUAUAUUUAGCUAUUUUUAAUAAUUGUUCUAAAACUAUAAACAAAUUAAAAAAUAUAUUUUCACGUAUAGCAACAAGUAGUAAUCGCGUUAGCUGUUUGACUGAUACUCGUGCAAUACAAUUAAAAUCCGCAGUAGAAAAUAAUAAAAAUAAUAAAAAUAACAAUGAAGACAUUUUAACUGAGAGUAUUAAUAAGGUUGAUAAUGAUGUAUACAUGGAUUUAAUCGAUAUAAAAGGAAGCACAGUUAUACACAGUGAUAGUAGCGACAAUAGUACCGUUAGUAGCAACAACGGAAUUGGUGAAAAUGGUCAAUCACAAUUAAAUACGAGCACCAAACAAUUAUCACAACCAGAAAAGGAAGAAGUAACAGAAAAAGCGAUAGCAACAGAAGAAACAACUGAAACAACAACAACAACAACAACAACAGCAACAACAACAACAGAAACGACAAAUUUUUUAAAAAAAUUAUUUAACCUUUUUUUCUUUUCAUUGACAAACACAGAUGAUAUAUUACACCUUCCUGAUGCUUGUAAUAAGACUACUGCGUGCGAUACUGUUGAAAACCCCCACAUUAACGAAACCAAAUCGACCCAUUUGAAAUAUAUUAUGCCUGGAAUAGAUACCCAAAAAAUUCAAAUAAAUAUGGAACUAUCUAUUAAUAAAAGAAUACAAACCGCUGACAUUUAUGAAAUUAGUAUUAUAAAAAAAGGUUAUAUAUAUAUUUAUAUAGAUAAAAAUGAAUGGAAAUCUUAUUAUGGUAUUUUUUUUUAUUUAAAAAAUAAUGAUGCAUAUAAAGAUAAUGUUAUUUUUAAUCAUUAUUCGAAAAUGUAUGAUGAUCCAUAUUUUUUAAAAAUAAUAAAAUCAAAUCACAAACAUACAAAUUAUUUUUUAGCAUUAUUUAAAACAGAUCAAUUACAAAUUCAUAAAAAAACAAAUAUCGAAUUAUCUUUACUUAUUAAAAAAAAAAUAUAUAAUAUCAUUAUUGAACUAACAAAAAAUAAACAACCGAAUAUAAUAAAAAAACAUAAUUUUUAUUUUACAAUCAAUGAAAAAGAAAAGGUUACAAAUGAAUAUCUUCAAAUAUUUGAUAUAUAUUCACAUCCUUACUACUUAAUACCUUAUGAUUAUAUUGUAACUCCUUCUGUAGGUACUUACCUCGCUAUUAAAGAUCAUGAAACACAUCAGAAAAACAGAUUUGAUAAUAGUAACUGCGAAUCACAGAAAAAUAAAAAAAAUUAUUCCAUUUAUACAACUGCUGAAAAUAAACUUAUGAAAAACAAACAAAAUAUGCAACUUUAUUUCAACUCUAUUUUUUUAAAAGAAUGGAAAGACUCUAUAUCUUUUGUAACACUUCCUAAAAGUAGCAGUCAUAAAAAUUAUAUUACUAUGUCAAGUAAACAAGUGUUGAACAAAAAAACCGAGUACGUAAAUCAAAAGUUUGAUCAAUGGAUACACGCCUUUAAGCAGGAGCGGAAUAUAAGACAUGUGGGUACAAGUACAUGUACAGGUACAGGUACACCUGUCAACAAAAUUUAAAAAGUCAAGGUGAAGAUACAUUAUGUAAACAUCUCUAAGUGCACAAGUAAAACAAUAGCACACGUAAAACAAUAGCACACGUAAAACAAUAGCACACGUAAAAGAAUAGCACGCGUAAAACAAUAGCACGCGUAAAACGAUAGCACGCGUAAAACAAUA